AACAAUCCCUGAACGAAGGAAUGAAUCCCUAAUGGUAGAAUUUCAGGCUUCAGUGACAGGCUGCACCAGGACUCCCAGGGCCCAUGCUUGCACAUGACCAACGAUGGCAUGAGCUAUGAACAAACGGGACUAUAAGAAGACUUCGGUUCAGGAGCCCCCCCUUGACUACUCCUUCAAAAGCAUCCACGUCAUUCCAGAUCUGGUAAGUGAGGAGCCAAGGGCAGGGCUCCGACCACUGAGGCACUCUAAGUCGUCGGGGAAGUCAUUAACUCAGUCCCUGUGGUUGAACAACAAUAUCCUCAAUGACUUGAAAGACUUCAGCCAGGUCGCCUCACAGCUGCUGGAGUACCCGCAGAACUUGGCCUGGAUUGAUCUGUCCUUCAAUGAUCUGACUUCCAUUGACUCUGUUCUAACAUCCUUCUUCAACCUGAGUGUCCUCUAUCUCCAUGGCAACAGCAUCCAACGCCUUGGGGAGGUAGAUAAACUGGCUGUCCUCCCUCGGCUCCGAAGCCUGACACUCCAUGGGAAUCCCAUGGAGGAAGAGAAGGGAUAUAGGCCAGAUCUUGACACGGCUGGUGGAAGAAAAGGCUCCUGUCUGUGUGCUAGAGCUGGGAACCUACUGUGGAUACUCCACGCUGCUUAUUGCCUGUGCCUUACCUCCUGGUGGCCGCCUUUUCACUGUGGAGCGGGACCCACGCACAGCAGCAGUGGCUGAAAAACUCAUCCGCCUGGCUGGCUUUAACGAGCACAUGGUGGAGCUCAUCGUGGGUAGCUCAGAGGAGGUGAUUCCACGCCUGCGAACGCAGCAUGGGCUGAGCCGUGGAGAGCUGGUGCUCCUGGCACACCGGCCUCGGUAUUACCUGCGGGACCUGCAACUCCUGGAGGCCCAUGCUCUGAUGUCAGCUGGUGCUACUGUGUUGGCUGACCAUGUGCUCUUCCCUGGUGCACCCCGAUUCCUCCAGUAUGCUAAGAGCUGUGGCCGCUACCGUUGCCGUCUCCAUCAUGCCAGCCUCCCGGACUUCCCUGCCAUCAAGGAUGGCAUAGCCCAGCUCACCUAUGCUGGACCUGGCUGA